UACGUAGGGGGCAAGCGUUGUCCGGAUUUAUUGGGCGUAAAGAGCUCGUAGGUGGUUUGGUAAGUCAGACGUGAAAUCCCUCGGCUCAACCGGGGAACUGCGUCUGAGACUGAUGAGCUCGAGUGCAGGAGAGGAACGCGGAAUUCCAGGUGUAGCGGUGAAAUGCGUAGAUAUCUGGAGGAACACCGGUGGCGAAGGCGGCGUUCUGGACUGCAACUGACACUGAGGAACGAAAGCCAGGGGAGCAAACGGG
rnacentral:rRNA from 1 species